CUUACCAUUUAUUUGCUGGUAUAGUCUCACGAUGAUCUGACCAGUUAUACUCACGGAAAAAAUAAUAUUGGACCAUUGUAAAUUGACAUGAAAUAACUAGUGUUUUCAUCUCUUCUGCAUGGACUAGUUGCUG
ensembl:snoRNA